CAAUAUAAUCACGACAGUCCUGUCUCGUUACACUGCUAAUGGGGUUUCAAGACGCGUCGUACGAUAUAUACGUAAAAGGUUUUCAAGCCUGUUCGAAUGCUUUUCCAAACCCCUGUAUAUACAACUAUAUUGGGUUGGCAACUAAGUGAUUGCAGAUUUUGUCAAUAGGUGGUAUUGUAAAAUCCGCAAUCACUUAAUUGCCAACCUAGUAUACCAUUUCUUGGCGUUGUAACGACUUUGGCAAAGUAUCUGCGCGAUAUUUAAAGGUGAGCAAUGGAUCAAGAAGUUAGCAAGUUCGUUAUAAGAAUUUACUAGUUAACACGUUUUACGGAUUGAAUUAUCGAAGUUGUAACCGAAAUUGUACUUAUAAGAUAAAUAAGUGAGAAAGGUCAGAGCGCUCUAUGCGACCAUUAAAUAAAUUGAAAAGUAACACAAAGAACGGGAAAAGCUUCUAGGUCGUGGUUGCCAGAUGAACGUGCAAUACAUAGGACGUAAAAUAUGGUUUAAUUAGCGUUAUUUCGACGGAAGGAGGUCGUUUCACUCGCGAAAUUCCAUGUUUAAUUAUUUUGUUGGUCACCUUAUGGCGAAAGCACAGCUCUAUCGUUGGACGUUAUUUAAACGAGGCAUCCGGUACAAAGCGGAUGAAACGUGGAAAUCCGUUUUAAUAACCUCAAAACGCAAACCAGAUCUAAAGUUUUGUAAUUUUCUACGUAGAUAUGCGAGAAAGUUAAUUUAUUCGUCCAGAAUUAAUGAAUUAACAGACGCAGAAUGAGAAAAUAAGGUAUGUUUAACUUGCAGUAUAGUGUGCUGUGGUAUGCUACAUAUACAGGGUGUCCAGUUCUAAUCGAUCCAUGCAAAUAUCUUCUAACGUUCGUAUUUAUCUUCGUAAAUAUCUUGUAACGAUCACAAAUCUUAUUUAGAUGUACGUACCCUGGAAAUUUCAAGCUAGCCUUCGCUUUCUUUAAACGGAAACAUAAAUUUUUUUGUACACCGAUGCCGUGUUUAACACUCUACGAAAAUGCAUCAAGGUACUCGAAUCUGAAAAUGCUUACCUUGGACCAUAUUUCAACGUUUUUCACGAAAUUGUGUGUAUAAGAGACGAGGAGAACGUAAAUAUAAAAAACACUGCGUUGUCUUUCCUUGUCUUUCAUACGAAAAAAGGUAUUAGAAAAAGAACGGGUAGCGUAUUGCUGAAGGAAUGUCUAAAAGAAAGCGAAGAAACGAUUAAGAAAAUUAGAACAAAGAAUAUAGCAAAGACAAACAGAUAGACAGAGAGGGAAAUAUUGGUGAAGGAAUGUCUGGAAGAAAGGGAAGAGUCGAUUAGGAAAAUUAGAACAAAGAAUAUAGCAAAAACAGAAUGAGAGAAAGGGAAAUAUUGGUGAAGGAGUGUCUGAAAGAAAUGGAAGAGACAAUUUGGAAAAUUAUGACAAA